UACGUAGGGUGCAAGCGUUAAUCGGAAUUACUGGGCGUAAAGCGUGCGCAGGCGGCUUUGCAAGACAGAUGUGAAAUCCCCGGGCUUAACCUGGGAACUGCAUUUGUGACUGCAUGGCUAGAGUGCGGCAGAGGGGGAUGGAAUUCCGCGUGUAGCAGUGAAAUGCGUAGAUAUGCGGAGGAACACCGGUGGCGAAGGCGGCAUCCUGGACCAUUACUGACGCUGAGGCGCGAAAGCUAGGGGAGCAAACGGG
rnacentral:rRNA from 1 species